AGGACGAACGCUGGCGGCGUGCUUAACACAUGCAAGUCGAACGCUGAAGCCUCUUCGGGGGUGGAUGAGUGGCGAACGGGUGAGUAACACGUGAGCAACCUGCCCUUGGCUCGGGGGAUAACCUUCGGAAACGGGGGCUAAUACCUGAUGUGACACAUGUCUGCAUGGGUGUGUGUGGAAAGUUUUUCGGCCAGGGAUGGGCUCGCGGCCUAUCAGCUUGUUGGUGGGGUGAUGGCUCACCAAGGCGACGACGGGUAGCCGGCCUGAGAGGACGAUCAGCCACACUGGGACUGAGACACGGCCCAGACUCCUACGGGAGGCAGCAGUGGGGAAUCUUGCGCAAUGGGCGAAAGCCUGACGCAGCAACGCCGCGUGGGGGAUGAAGGCCCUCGGGUCGUAACCCCUUUCAGCAGGGACGAAUUGACGGUACCUGCAGAAGACGCCCCGGCCACUACGUCGCCAGCAGCCGC
rnacentral:rRNA from 1 species